UACAUAAUAAAAUGUAUACUGUCUGUGUCAGUGAAAUGUAUAUAAUACAACCCGCCAGCCCGCAUCACCAAACCAAUAGCCGAGUUCAACUUCGUUGCAACUCUGCUAAAAAUGUAUACUGUCUGUGUCAGUGAAAUGUACAUAAUAAAAUGUAUACUGUCUGUGUCAGUGAAAUGUACAUAAUGAAAUGUAUACUGUCUGUGUCAGUGAAAUGUACGGUACUGUCUGUGUCAGUGAAAUGUAGCCCUUUGGGCUCGGUGAAUAUUGUACUCCUCAGGACCCAUAUUUACUAAAGUUCGUAGACGUAGACGUAAACGUGGGAUUUACGUCUGACUUAAGAUUAGAGUUACGUACUCGUGAAAUGGUAUUUACAAAACCGUUCGUAGCCGCAAACGUAACUUACGAUGUACGAUUGCACGUACGUGUGCGCAGUGGCUAUUUUCACUUCGAAGCGUAAAAAGUGUGAAUUUGCUCAUUUACUUUGACUUCCCUGCGCUACCGCUGCAUUAUGACGAAAAAGAACACAGAACUUUGUGAGAACGCAACGAAUUUCAACGUAUACGUAUGCCUGCCAACGGCAUGUCGAUCAACUGUACCGCUAUUCAGUGUUGUUUACAAAUCCAAAUGGAAGGUUCAUCAAAUUUAACGCAUUUGACUUGUGCAUGGAUCUGCGAUGCUGUAGGUCUUCAAAAAGAAGUCGGCAUGGACUGACAAGGUCAUAAAGGUGGUCAAGAAAUAAAUUGCCAAAAGACAGCAGCAUUCCUUGAAUUAGAUACAUUUCUCUUCAUGUCCUCUCCUGAAAGAUUUUCCAUGAUGCCUCAGGGUUAGGACUGGGAUGCAAGAUGUACAGUACAUAUAUAUGAUGUCUAUGGGUACAUUGCUGUAAUGGCCUGUAAAAUCUUUUGCGAAACCGAGAAAUGUUCAUCUUCCAUUGCCAUGAUUGUGUAAAAGGACGAGCAGAGGAAUGAUUCAAAAAUAUAUGGCAGGAUUGAGAAUCUAACCCAUGACCCGUAGUCUGGUACUCUACCCACUGAUCAAUCCAUGCUGAUGGUCCAUCUGCUACAUUGAUGUCAUCUUAUAUAUUUAUUUAUUCAUUUAUAUAUCAUAUGGACAUUUAAAAAUUGACAGUAAAAUAAAAAAAAGUUUGAUAUUCAGCAAAACAGAAUUUGUUACAAUACAUGUUUAAGAAAUUAAGUACAUGUACAUGCAUUGUUAUGCAUACAAUUAUGUACAUGUAAUUAUAUUUGUUAAUACAUAAAUUCUUAGAUGAAUUUUCAUGUUGUUAUUGAUAUUGACAUGUACAUGUAUUACUUCCAUUUCUAGAAUGAUUUUAACAUCUUGAUAUUAAAAUGAUGACAUAAUAAAUAAAUCUUAAAUAUUUGUCAACAAA